rnacentral:rRNA from 1 species
AUUGAACGCUGGCGGCAGGCCUAACACAUGCAAGUCGAACGAGUGGCGGACGGGUGAGUAACGUAUGGGAAACUGCCUGAUGGAGGGGGAUAACUACUGGAAACGGUAGCUAAUACCGCAUACCAUCGGAUGAGCCCAGAUGGGAUUAGCUAGUAGGUGGGGUAACGGCUCACCAAGGCGACAAUCCCUAGCUGGUAUGAGAGGUUGACCAGCCACACUGGAACUGAGACACGGUCCAGACUCCUACGGGAGGCAGCAGUGGGGAAUAUUGCACAAUGGGCGCAAGCCUGAUGCAGCCAUGCCGCGUGUGUGAAGAAGGCCUUCGGGUUGUAAAGCACUGUCAGCGGGGAGGCGUUACCCGCAGAAGAAGCACCGGCUAACUCCGUGCCAGCAGCCGCAGUAAUAC